rnacentral:rRNA from 1 species
CGCUGGCGGCGUGCCUAACACAUGCAAGUCGAACGAAGCACCUUACCUGAUUCUUCGGAUGAAAGUUUGGUGACUGAGUGGCGGACGGGUGAGUAACGCGUGGGUAACCUGCCCUGUACAGGGGGAUAACAGCUGGAAACGGCUGCUAAUACCGCAUAAGCGCACGAGGAGACAUCUCCUUGUGUGAAAAACUCCGGUGGUACAGGAUGGGCCCGCGUCUGAUUAGCUGGUUGGCAGGGUAACGGCCUACCAAGGCAACGAUCAGUAGCCGGUCUGAGAGGAUGAACGGCCACAUUGGAACUGAGACACGGUCCAAACUCCUACGGGAGGCAGCAGUGGGGAAUAUUGCACAAUGGGGGAAACCCUGAUGCAGCAACGCCGCGUGAGUGAAGAAGUAUUUCGGUAUGUAAAGCUCUAUCAGCAGGGAAGAUAAUGACGGUACCUGACGAAGAAGCUCCGGCUAAAUACGUG